UCUCCGUUGGUGAACCAGCGGAGGGAUCAUUACCGAGUUUACAACUCCCAAACCCCAUGUGAACGUUACCAAACUGUUGCCUCGGCGGGGUCACGCCCCGGGUGCGUCGCAGCCCCGGAACCAGGCGCCCGCCGGAGGAACCAACCAAACUCUUUCUGUAGUCCCCUCGCGGACGUUAUUUCUUACAGCUCUGAGCGAAAAUUCAAAAUGAAUCAAAACUUUCAACAACGGAUCUCUUGGUUCUG
rnacentral:misc_RNA from 1 species